AGCAGUGGCAACCGGAGACCAGUAGUCGAGGAGGAGGAGGAGGAUGAGCAGGGGGAGCCGGAGCAGGUUGGAGACGGAUCUCGUGCCCGGUCCCGGCAACAAAAACAACAAUAACAAUGCGAAAAGGCUGUUCAAGGCGCAACGGCAUGAAAAAGGCGCUGGCUGAAGUGUGUCUCCUGGUUCUCGAGAGCAUCGUCGUCGUCAGGAACAGACGCUUGUUGAUAUUGCCUCACAGUGUGGCAUUAAUUGGGGCUACUCGGGUCGGAUAAAGCCAUAUCUACACCUGGAGCUGCCGUCGGGAUAUGAUUAUACCCGCAAACAAAGAACAAAAAAAUUAGUUUUACAUUAUUGAGAUAUGAAACUGCACUGGGAUCAUCAAAUAUAACCCAGGAAGGAUAUGGUGCCCGACUUUCAAAAUAUGUUGCCUACUUUAAGGAUUUAAGAACUGUUUUUUUUAUAAAACUUCCUUUAUUACUGCUGUUUCUGUUUUUCAUAUAUAACCUGACUUUUUAUACUUGUAAGUAAUUAGCAGUUGCGUCAGUCCAAGAUUAAAUACCUACACUCAGGGAAAAACACCGUGCUAAAAACAAGUACAAACAGCCUUGAUUUAAGAAAAAUUGCAUGCUUAACAUUUAAGAACGUUCGUGCUCAAAAAAUUCUCAUAUUGAGCACUUUUUGGAUUUUUAAUGUCUGCCAACUCUAAUAAUUCCCAACUGUUUAUUCUGAAAGUACUCGGUAUAUAAGGCGCAUAAAUUAGACAGUUUU